rnacentral:rRNA from 1 species
UACAGAGGGUGCGAGCGUUGUCCGGAAUCACUGGGCGUAAAGGGCGCGUAGGCGGUCGUGACAAGUCACUUGUGAAAUCUCCGGGCUUAACUCGGAACGGUCAAGUGAUACUGUCGGACUAGAGUACAGAAGGGGCAACUGGAAUUCUCGGUGUAGCGGUGAAAUGCGUAGAUAUCGAGAGGAACACCUGCGGCGAAGGCGGGUUGCUGGGCUGAUACUGACGCUGAGGCGCGAAAGCCAGGGGAGCGAACGGG